GUGCCUAUAACAAUGAUAGAAAGAUGUUUAAAUGAAGCCACAGAAAUGUCAAAUAAUUUGUCCAGCUACACGCAGAUAGUAAGGAACAGAGCUGAGAGUUGAUGUCAUCGAUGUACCAAGAUGUUGCUGUAAUAACUAAAGGAGGUAAAGGGACCAUAACACUGAUAUCAGCUGCAUCCUGCUAGCAUAAUACUGGUGCUUGAAAGAUUAAUGAACACAAUGAUUUUCUUAGAACCCAUGGAUGAAUACCAUCUGGUCCUGGUGAUUUACUGCACAGAGUCCCUCAAGGUGCUCCAUACCUUUAUCCUCAGAGACUGAAGAAUCUCUGUCAAGGCCAUUCUCUGCUUUGCCAUAAAAUGUGUCCUUGGAACAGGAAUUUCCCCAUUGUCUUCUCC
ensembl:lncRNA